rnacentral:rRNA from 1 species
GAUGAACGCUGGCGGCGCGCCUAACACAUGCAAGUCGAACGAAGCACUUGAAGUUUUCGGAUGGAAAGUGACUGAGUGGCGGACGGGUGAGUAACGCGUGGAUAACCUGCCUCAUACAGGGGGAUAACAGUUAGAAAUGACUGCUAAUACCGCAUAAGCGCACAGUACCGCAUGAUACAGUGUGAAAAACUGAGGUGGCAUACGAUGGACCCGCGUCUGAUUAGCUGGUUGGUGAGGUAACGGCUCACCAAGGCGACGAUCAGUAGCCGGCCUGAGAGGGUGAACGGCCACAUUGGGACUGAGACACGGCCCAAACUCCUACGGGAGGCAGCAGUGGGGAAUAUUGCACAAUGGGGGAAACCCUGAUGCAGCGACGCCGCGUGAGUGAAGAAGUAUUUCGGUAUGUAAAGCUCUAUCAGCAGGGAANAAAUGACGGUACCUGACUAAGAAGCCCCGGCUAAACUACGUGCCAGCAGCCGACGG